GAUGAACGCUGGCGGCGUGCCUAAUACAUGCAAGUCGGGCGAACGGACGAGAAGCUUGCUUCUCUGAUGUUAGCGGCGGACGGGUGAGUAACACGUGGAUAACCUACCUAUAAGACUGGGAUAACUUCGGGAAACCGGAGCUAAUACCGGAUAAUAUUUUGAACCGCAUGGUUCAAUAGUGAAAGACGGUCUUGCUGUCACUUAUAGAUGGAUCCGCGCUGCAUUAGCUAGUUGGUAAGGUAACGGCUUACCAAGGCAACGAUGCAUAGCCGACCUGAGAGGGUGAUCGGCCACACUGGAACUGAGACACGGUCCAGACUCCUACGGGAGGCAGCAGUAGGGAAUCUUCCGCAAUGGGCGAAAGCCUGACGGAGCAACGCCGCGUGAGUGAUGAAGGUCUUCGGAUCGUAAAACUCUGUUAUUAGGGAAGAACAUAUGUGUAAGUAACUGUGCACAUCUUGACGGUACCUAAUCAGAAAGCCACGGCUAACUACGUG
rnacentral:rRNA from 1 species